GGACUAAGAUGUUUGAAAAUCCCUGUCAGUUCUGAAACUGAAAAGUCAGUCAUCCCAGGUUAAUUUGAGAUUACAGGCAUAUGCAGCUUUUACGUAAUUUCAAGUCAGGAGGGACACUCACGAGUUAUGUCAAGUUUCAGUCGGUUCAAUCGAAGUCACCCUUGCAAUCAAGGAGUGUGAUAUUGAACAGACAUGUGAGUCUCAUAAUGCAAAAGGUUUGGUUCCUGUAGUGAGUAUGAAACUAUUAAAGCUCCAAAGUAGUUAGGGAUUUGAGGGUUGAAGUAUCAGUAUCUGGAUAAUCAAUUACCGAUAUAUAUACAGAUACCAUAAUAAAUAAUAAUCUACAUGAA